AGCGAACGCUGGCGGCAGGCUUAACACAUGCAAGUCGAGCGGGCACUUUCGGGUGUCAGCGGCGGACGGGUGAGUAACGCGUGGGAACGUGCCCUCUGGUUCGGAAUAACUCAGGGAAACUUGAGCUAAUACCGGAUACGCCCUUUUGGGGAAAGGCUUGCUGCCGGAGGAUCGGCCCGCGCCUGCUUAGCUAGUUGGUGAGGUAACGGCUCACCAAGGCGACGAUCAGUAGCUUGGCUGAGAGGAUGAUCAGCCACACUUGGACUGAGACACGGCCCAGACUCCUACGGGGGGCAGCAGUGGGGAAUAUUGGACAGUGGGCGCAGGCCUGAUCCAGCCAUGCCGCGUGAGUGAUCAAGGCCUUAGGGUUGUAAAGCUCUUUUAUCCGGGACGAUAAUGACGGUACCGGAGGAAUAAGCCCCGGCUAACUUCGUG
rnacentral:rRNA from 1 species